GAUGAACGCUGGCGGCGUGCCUAAUACAUGCAAGUCGAGCGAACGGACGAGAAGCUUGCUUCUCUGAUGUUAGCGGCGGACGGGUGAGUAACACGUGGAUAACCUACCUAUAAGACUGGGAUAACUUCGGGAAACCGGAGCUAAUACCGGAUAAUAUUUUGAACCGCAUGGUUCAAAAGUGAAAGACGGUCUUGUUGUCACUUAUAGAUGGAUCCGCGCUGCAUUAGCUAGUUGGUAAGGUAACGGCUUACCAAGGCAACGAUGCAUAGCCGACCUGAGAGGGUGAUCGGCCACACUGGAACUGAGACACGGUCCAGACUCCUACGGGAGGCAGCAGUAGGGAAUCUUCCGCAAUGGGCGAAAGCCUGACGGAGCAACGCCGCGUGAGUGAUGAAGGUCUUCGGAUCGUAAAACUCUGUUAUUAGGGAAGAACAUAUGUGUAAGUAACUGUGCACAUCUUGACGGUACCUAAUCAGAAAGCCACGGCUAACUACGUGCCAGCAGCCGCGGUAAUACGUAGGUGGCAAGCGUUAUCCGGAAUUAUUGGGCGUAAAGCGCGCGUAGGCGGUUUUUUAAGUCUGAUGUGAAAGCCCACGGCUCAACCGUGGAGGGUCAUUGGAAACUGGAAAACUUGAGUGCAGAAGAGGAAAGUGGAAUUCCAUGUGUAGCGGUGAAAUGCGCAGAGGUAUGGAGGACACCCAGUGGCGAAGGCGACUUUCUGGUCUGUAACUGACGCUGAUGUGCGAAAGCGUGGGGAUCAAACAGGAUUAGAUACCCUGGUAGUCCACGCCGUAAACGAUGAGUGCUAAGUGUUAGGGGGUUUCCGCCCCUUAGUGCUGCAGCUAACGCAUUAAGCACUCCGCCUGGGGAGUACGACCGCAAGGUUGAAACUCAAAGGAAUUGACGGGGACCCGCACAAGCGGUGGAGCAUGUGGUUUAAUUCGAAGCAACGCGAAGAACCUUACCAAAUCUUGACAUCCUUUGACAACUCUAGAGAUAGAGCCUUCCUCUUCGGGGGACAAAGUGACAGGUGGUGCAUGGUUGUCGUCAGCUCGUGUCGUGAGAUGUUGGGUUAAGUCCCGCAACGAGCGCAACCCUUAAGCUUAGUUGCCAUCAUUAAGUUGGGCACUCUAAGUUGACUGCCGGUGGCAAACCGGAGGAAGGUGGGGAUGACGUCAAAUCAUCAUGCCCCUUAUGAUUUGGGCUACACACGUGCUACAAUGGACAAUACAAAGGGCAGCGAAACCGCGAGGUCAAGCAAAUCCCAUAAAGUUGUUCUCAGUUCGGAUUGUAGUCUGCAACUCGACUACAUGAAGCUGGAAUCGCUAGUAAUCGUAGAUCAGCAUGCUACGGUGAAUACGUUCCCGGGUCU
rnacentral:rRNA from 1 species